rnacentral:SRP_RNA from 1 species
GCUGGGUGUGGUGACUCACACCUGUAGUCCCAGCUACUCAGGAGGCUGAGGCAGGAGGAUCACUUGAGCCUGGGAAGUCAGAGCUGCAGUGAGCUGAGAUUGCACCAUUGCACUCCAGCCUGGGCAAGAGAGUGAGACCCUGUCUAAA